rnacentral:tRNA from 1 species
AUUUAUCUAAUAUAAGUAGUAUAUUUGGUCACCACCCUUAAAGUUUAAAUUAAAAUUAAGAUAAAUA